GUCAUAGAGGAGCUGCUUGAUGAGCUACACGGUGCGCAAUGGUUCUCUAAAUUAGACUUGCGCGCGGGCUACCACCAGAUUCGGUUAGCAGAGGGGGAAGAAUUCAAAACUGCCUUUCAGACGCAUUCAGGACAGUAUGAGUUCAAAGUUCUCUCGUUUGGAUUAGUAGGAGGGCCAGGUACUUUCAAUGGAGCAAUAACAGAAACGAUGCAUCCUCUCCUGCGACACUGCGUCCUACUGUUCUUCGAUGAUAUUCUUGUUUUCAGCAAGACCUGGGAGGAUCACGUGGCGCACCUCAGACAGGUCCUCGAGCUUCUGCGUCGUGACCAAUGGAAAGUGAAGCGGUCCAAAUGCGAGUUUGGUCAG
rnacentral:rRNA from 1 species